rnacentral:misc_RNA from 1 species
AAAAAAAAAAAAAAAAAAAAAAGAAUCUGAUUUACACUACGAACCCUAAAUUUCUUAAACAUUAUCAUCCAAAUUUUGCCAGAAAAACCAAUUGUCAAAUCAUUAUUUUUUUUCUCUAUUUUUGGUAUCAAAUCCAUUUUCGCUUUACUGUAUUUGCAACCUAAUCUCUCUCCGUAGAUUUCGUUCCUAUUUAGGGUUCCUGAAUUCGA